AGUGAACGCUGGCGGCAGGCCUAAUACAUGCAAGUCGAACGGCAGCACAGUGGAGCUUGCUCCAUGGGUGGCGAGUGGCGGACGGGUGAGGAAUACAUGGGAAUCUGCCCAGUCGUGGGGGAUAACGUAGGGAAACUUACGCUAAUACCGCAUGCGCCCUAAGGGGGAAAGCCGGGGACCGCAAGGCCUGGCGCGAUUGGAUGAGCCCAUGUUCGAUUAGCUAGUUGGCGGGGUAAAGGCCCACCAAGGCGACGAUCGAUAGCUGGUCUGAGAGGACGAUCAGCCACACUGGAACUGAGACACGGUCCAGACUCCUACGGGAGGCAGCAGUAGGGAAUAUUGGACAAUGGGGGCAACCCUGAUCCAGCCAUGCCGCGUGAGUGAAGAAGGCCCUCGGGUUGUAAAGCUCUUUUGUCCGGAAAGAAAGCAAUCGGUUAAUACCCGGUUGUUCUGACGGUACCGGAAGAAUAAGCACCGGCUAACUUCGUGCCAGCAGCCGCGGU
rnacentral:rRNA from 1 species